rnacentral:rRNA from 1 species
UACAGAGGUGCCAAGCGUUAGGCGGAAUCACUGGGCUUAAAGCGCGCGUAGGCGGACGUUUAAGUGUCUUGUGAAAUCCCACGGCUCAACCGUGGAACUGCUGGGCAUACUGGACGUCUCGAGGCACUCAGGGGCGAGCGGAACAAGUGGUGGAGCGGUGAAAUGCGUAGAUAUCAUCAGGAACUCCGGUGGCGAAAGCGGCACGCUGGACCUUUACUGACGCUGAGGCGCGAAAGCCAGGGGAGCGAACGGG